AGUCCGGUCAGAGCUGGCCUCUGAGUGCAGGAACCUAGGGGAGACUUCUGAGCCCAGGGACUCGAGCUGACUGCAUUCCAACGGGCGCCCUCUGGCGGCCACGUGGGGAACAGCCUGAGGAUGGGGAACAGGAGCCCGGGAGGAAGGCUGUCAAAACUCACGCUGGAAGUGGGGACUGGGAGCCGACGCGUGGGAUUAGAUUUGGGACUUAUUUCGGAGGCAGAGGGAAAAAGAGGAGUUUCCAGAACUCCACCUUUCCGUCCCAGCAUCUAGCAAGAUGUUUGAGAGACUCGUGAUGGUCACACACCUACUGUGUGCCAGGGUCUUGGCCAAUUAAAUGACUUACAUACAUGAUUUCAUUAAGUCCAAAUUGGUCGUAAGGACUUAAUGAAAUCAUGUAUGUAAAUCAGGAGGGAAAGGUGGAACACGUGCAGUAGGAGUCUGGAUUUAUUUAGAAAUAUUUGCAGCCCCAGGCUUUGAAGCCAAGGCCUUGUGCACGCUGGGCGAGUGCUCUACCACUGAGCUACAUCUCCAGCCUUUGUACUUUUCUUUUGAGAAAGGUCUUGAACUUAUGUUCUCCUGCCUCAGCCUCUUGAGUUGAGAUUACAGGCAUACAUCACCAUGCCUGACAUAGAUUUAUUUUAAAAGUAGAGUCUAUAUGAUUCGCUCAGCAGCUAUUUGUGGAUUAGAUGGAGGAUAGAUAAUAGCAAUACUUGCAGAUACAUUUAGUGUGUGGCUGGCGCUGUUCUCAGCACAUUAUCUCAUUUAAUCCUCACAUCACGCUUUUAUUAGUGCUGUUUUGAACUUGGGGAAACCAAGACACAGAAAGGGUAAGUACUUUGUCCAGUCACUGUGCUACUAACAACUAUAAUAUUUUAUUACAGAAGCAGCGCAGUGAGCUCUGGAAGUCGGAAAGAUCCAUUUGGGUUCAAUUCCCACAUGGCUGGUGGCCUUGGGCAGCUAGUUCACUUAGCAUCUCUCGCUGAAAAAGAGAUAAUGCCUGAAAGAAGAGUGAGCCCAGGGUGUGGAAGCUACUCACUAAAUGAUAGCAAAGAUUUUCUUUAAGGGAUUAAGAUACAGCAGUGAUCCCGCCCUGCAGGCCCUCAGUCUCCCUUCAGGUAUUACCUUGUCUGUCUCCUGGAGAAGUGACUUCGACGGCCACAGGCGGGCAGAUCAACAGGGGAGUGCGCGCACCGCCCUCUGGUGGCCAGUGGGAAAAACGUCUCCGCCCGCUUGCAAGACCUUCCUGUGCCUGUUUACAACUGGAAACUAAAGCUAGAGUUUAACUCCGCAUUUUAUUAUGAUGAUUAUUAUUUGCACUACUAGGAGUUGGACCCAGGCCCUUGUGUCUCCUGGGGAUGGGACUCUGGGACCUCUCAGGUGCCAGGAAAGUGCUUUGCUGCUUAACCACAGCCCCAGCUAGUUUCCAGAUUUUUCGAACGAGUGGUUUCACAGAAGAAAUAUGAGAAGUUGACAUUUGACUAAAGAGCUGAAGCAAGUGAUGUAGUGAGCCUGGCAGGUAAUUGGGCAAUUAUAAGAGGAUUAAAGUGCAUGUGUACAGAAGGUUUCCGAAGCUUGUUAACAGUAGCCAUAUAAAGGGCAAGAGAUUACCAUAUAUCCACUUUCCGUGAUUCAAAUCACAAAAUAAAAUGACUGGCACCUCAGGGAAUCUGAUCUGCAUACCUGUAACUGUCAUCAACUCCUGCGAAGGCAUACCACAGCACUUACCACCAUUCGUCUUAAGCUACUUAUUAUAUCUAAAUUUUGGUUUAUGCAAGUAAUCCCUUAAGUCUAGUCAAUUCCAGAUGGGGCUUCUUUGACUGUCUUCCUGUCUUUGGAAUGCACCAACCUCACCAAACAAAGAGAGCGACUUCUCGCAUGCUAUGUCCUCUGCCUGGGCAGCCAGCCUCUUUCUCCCUCAGACCUGUCCUCCUGACUUAGACACCAAUCCUUGCUGUGAAUUCAUAUUUACCCAUGAGGGCCUUGUUCCUCAUCUGGACUUCCCGUCCACAUUUCCCCCAGCAGAGUCUAGCACUCAUUGCUGAUUUAGAGAAUGAAUGAGCGAUUAUAAUGGAUACACUUUUGUGUGUGUGUGUGUGUGUGUGUAUGUGUAUA